CAAGUUCGAAAUACACUGAAUCCUAUUUUUCUGUCAGCAACAUAUCACAAGGAGUAUGAAAUAAAGUAACAUUACUGUGGUGGUGCUUCAUUCUUUGCAACCUGAUUCUGCCUCAUGCCAAAACCUAUGCUCUGUUAUGCAGGUUAUUUAGGAGAUGCAGUAAAAGCAGAAGUAUUUAGUGGUAAAGUGUCAAGGAUGCCUACAGCUUUCUUUCAAAUGGUUCACCAAAAUAUAAAAGUAUAUGAGCAGUAUAUGUCAACAC
rnacentral:lncRNA from 1 species